UGUCGCCAAAAUAUGGAUCAUGUUCGAUCUUGGUUCUUGAGGAGCCUAUCACUACAAAUUUUUUUAGUAUAUAUUACAUUAAAAAAUGACACAUAUUUAAAAGUGUUAUUAAUAGACAAUUAAAAAAAAAAAACACGGAUCCCACCAUAUUUUUACAGAGACAGAUGAAAAUUACUUGGCGCCAUAUGAAAUAUAAUUAUGCGCCAAAUGAAAAUAACAGAGACACGAAAUUUCUCUCAGCCUCAUCCCUAAACCUAAUUUCUGGUUUCGUCUCUCUGCCUCUCUUUCUUACACUCAGCUUCUACACAACCACGUUAUUCUCCUCCACUCACUCUCGUCUACAUAACCAUGUUUCUACACUAAUUUCUGGUUUCGUCUCGUCUAUCUCUGCCUCACGCGAGUCGCUAGAGCACACGACGUCGGUGCGAGCUUCUGGAGGACACAAUGGCAGUGGGUUUUCUGGUUCUCUCUCUCUCCUCUCCUCUCUCACCGAUCCGCCCUCCAAACAACGCUGCCACCUCUAUGACGCCGACGCGAACGCCAGUACCCGCGAACUACACCUCUACGACGCCAACGUCGGUACACUAUCAUCUCUCAACAUUUAUAUAUAUAAAUGUUUAAAUGUUUUUUUUAUUUUAUUAAUUUUUUUUUUGCUUAUUAACUUUGUUCUCUCUCUCUCUGAUUAGCUAUGAAGAAAAAAUCAGUUUGAUUUUAAGGUAUAUCUACUUGAUGAGUCGAUGACAAAGUUGCAUUUAUUUCUUGGUCGACAACUGGGGAAUAGCUCAGGUAUUUCUGAAUUUUGGGGACUUGAGAUGGGGCAAUGUCUUUAUUUUGUUCAUACCUGGAUUCUGAAAUUGGUAAGUACUUUUUAUCUUCUUUUUGUAUCUUAAUUAUUAUUUAGAUUUUGUUGUUAUUCUGUGAAUCUAGCUACAUUCAAUUAUGUUGGUGAGGGAAGACAGUUCUUUACAUAUUUUAAUCAUGGCUUAAUUUCGUAUAUUCAUUUCUAGUUCUACAUAAAAGUUGAGGGAAAGGGGGAGUUUCAGUCCCACACUAUUUACUAGGUCUGUCCCUGCAUAAUAAAAUUCAAUGAUAUUUUCUAGGUUGUUUUGUUGCAGGGGUGCUUCACUUUAUUCAGGUGAUCAUCAUCCUGAUGCACUUCGCCAGCGAGAUCAGCAUUUGAAAACAUAAAAGAAAUGAGAUUGAAUCUUUAGUGAAGCUGAAGGAGGCAUUUCAUAAUUGUAAAGAUACAAAAAAUGAUAUUGUGUUGAAGAUACAAAGGUUAAUUCAUUGCACUAUUUCCUUUAAAAAUCAUGAUUACUGAGAUUGAUUAAUUUCCUUGCAUAUUCUGUACUAUGUAUUGAAACUUCUGUUUUGAUAAUAAUAAUAAACCAUAUAUACAUUUUUAUAAUUGUAGAUUAAUUUUAUAUAUCUUUCAUAUUUUAUUUUGCUUUUUUUGGUUUAAAUCUUUCUGUUAUUUUUAUGUUUAGUGCACCUGCAUUUUAUUGAAUUAUAUCCAAAUGUAGUACUUCCUCUUUUAUAAUUUUGAAUUAGGAAGACUUCUUGGAUUAAUCCUCUUUUAUCUUCAAGUUUGCUGAAGACAACUCUGCUCUCAUAAUAUACUUUUAGGUGGUCAAAAUCUUGAUGAUACAAUUCGAAAAUGGCACCAAAAAUAC